GGGGGAUAGCUCAGUCGGUAGAACAUGAGACUUUUAAUCUAAGGGUUGUGGGUUUGAGCACCACAUUCAGCA